UGGCAUUUCGGCACUUCCCUACUUUUUAAGAAACAUGGGAGGAGGGUUGAAAAUUCACGUCAUUUACUGUGGCGCAUGAGGGUACGCUUCGAGGUUCCGCGACGUCAAAGCGGAACUAGAGAAGACGUUCCCUAGGGAGUUGGACAUCACCUGCGAAGGAACUGUCAACGUCACCGGCUACUUCGAGGUCCAGAUCGUCGGCGGCAGACUGCUGCACUCCAAAAAGAAUGGCGACGGCUACGUGGACACGCCGGAGAAGAUGAACCACAUAGUGCAG